AACUCGUUCCUUGCCACCCAGUGCCAAUAUCUCUCAUUUUAGUCCUCCCUGUAACUUGGUGGUGCACAUUAGCAUCUGCCAAAAGCGCCGGUGCAGUGUGCGCCUCUACCUCUUCCUCUUCCUCUUCCUCUACCACCCCCCGUGGCCGGAAAAAAUGGGGGAGAGACCGCCAUCCUCCGAAGACAUGGAGAAGGGGCGCGAAAAGAGACAAAAGUCUCGGCAUUCCAUGCCCCCGCCCCAUUUGUGCCCCCCUCCUCCUAAGCCAUGGGUGCCGUGGCUCAUGCCAAUCGUGUUUGUCGUCAAUGUUGCCAUGUUCGUGUACACGAUGUACGUCAAUGACUGUCCAACUACAGGGGAAAAGUGUCUUUUUCCUUUCUUUAAGAGGUUCUCUUUCCAACCCUUCAGAGAAAACCCUCUUCUUGGUCCUGCCGCACUUACUCUAAAGAAACUAGGAGCCCUUGAACUGCAAUUAGUGGUGGAAGGGGGCGAAGGAUGGCGCCUCUUGUCUUGCAUGUGGCUUCAUGCUGGAGUCGUUCACUUGCUCUUCAAUAUGCUGAGCCUUCUAUUCAUAGGAAUAAGGCUUGAGCAGGAAUUCGGAUUUAUCAGAAUAGGGUUCCUGUAUCUGCUUGCUGGAAUAGGAGGAAGUUUAGGAUCGACUCUACAUCGCAUGAGAACCGCAAGCCCAACUAUCUCAGUUGGUGCAUCUGGAGCACUUUUUGGAUUGCUGGGAGCCAUGCUUUCCGAGCUUCUAAUAAACUGGACAAUCUACGUGAAUAAGUGCACAGCGCUCCUGAUACUCAUGGUUGUCAUUGCCGUGAAUAUGGCUGUUGGGUUUAUACCUAAAGUGGACAGUUCAGCUCAUAUAGGAGGAUUCCUUGCAGGAUUUUUCCUUGGCUUUGUUAUUCUAGUUCGUCCACAGUAUGGUUAUAUAAGCAGCAGGCACCUUCCAUCAACCUACGAGGGAAGACGUAAAUCUAGGCACAAGUUCUAUCAGUAUGUGCUAGGGAUCACUGCUUUUGUUUUCUUAGUUCUUGGAUACACAUACGGCUUUGGUAAGCUAUACGGUCCUCCGGCACUGAAAAAUCUACCUUAAGUUCUAGAAAUCAAACGAAUAAUCUAGAGAGCUCAACUGCCUACUCAAGAAUUGCAGGAUUAACAAAGUGAUUUUAGCACAUACAGAAGAGGAACGGAAUAUAAGCAAGGACAGCAGGGAGUCUUCUAGGAUAAGGAGAUGGAGAUGAAGGCAAUGCUAUGUUAUAUUUUAAUCGAGGUAGCAAUGUAGAUGAGUUCUGUAAUUUCUGUUUCAGAAUUUUUCUACAUUUUGAUUAAUCAACCCAAGGACUGUUGAA